rnacentral:rRNA from 1 species
GACGAACGCUGGCGGCGCGCCUUACGCAUGCAAGUCGUACGCCGGGCUUCGGCCCGGAGUGGCAGACGGCUGAGUAACGCGUAGGCAACCUGUCCCACAGUGGGGGAUAACCCGUCGAAAGACGGGCUAAUACGCCAUUCGCUCCAGGGGUGGAACUCCCCUGGAGGAAAGCCGCAAGGCGCUGAGGGAGGGGCCUGCGUCCUAUCAGGUAGUUGGUGAGGUAACGGCUCACCAAGCCGGCGACGGGUAGUUGGUCUGAGAGGACGGCCAGCCWGACGGGGACUGAGACACGGCCCCGACUCCUACGGGAGGCAGCAGCGAGGAAUCUUGGGCAAUGGGCGAAAGCCUGACCCAGCGACGCCGCGUGGGGGAAGAAGGCCUUCGGGUCGUAAACCCCUUUUGCCGGGGAAGAAGCUCUGACGGUACCUGGCGAAUAAGCCACGGCUAACUACGUGCCAGCAGCCGCGGUAAUACGUAGGUGGCAAGCGUUGUCCGGAUUUACUGGGCGUAAAGAGCGUGUAGGCGGUCCGUUAAGUCCGGUGUGAAAUCUCCCGGCUCAACUGGGAGGGGUCAUCGGAUACUGGCGGACUUGAGGUGGGCAGAGGAAGGUGGAAUUCCCGGUGUAGCGGUGAAAUGCGUAGAUACCGGGAGGAACACCAGUGGCGAAGGCGGCCUUCUGGGCCCACUCUGACGCUGAGGCGCGAAAGCGUGGGGAGCAAACCGGAUUAGAUACCCGGGUAGUCCACGCCCUAAACGUUGGACACUAGGUGUGGGGGGUGUCGACCCCCUCUGUGCCGUAGCUAACGCAUUAAGUGUCCCGCCUGGGGAGUACGGCCGCAAGGCUA